ensembl:lncRNA
AUGGCAAGAAGACUGACCGCCAGGUGGAUCUUCCAGGGAGCGGCGCCUCGGGAGCUCCUGCCCAGGCGGCAGCGGGCAAGGAGAAGGGUCCGGCCAGAAGAAGCCGCCCCGCUCAGCGAGCUUCCUAGGCAGGUCCUGCGGCGGCGGCUGGGCCUGGCGACCCGCUUUCCCUUCCGCCAGUGUCCCGCCCCCUCCCCGCCACAGACUCUCCAGGGAUGGGGACGCCGCCGCUCUUGGGAAUUCCGGUCCAGGGAGCUCCGCGCCAGGGCCAGAUCCAACCGGUCACGCGCCCCUCAGGUGCUCCCGACGGCGGCGACACAGCAAGCCCUCUCCAGGGUGCUGAACGCGCAGGCGGCGGCGGCGGCUUCCGGCAGGCCUCCCCCUCUCUCUCCCUCCCUCCCUCCGCCCGUCCUUACCGCGCUCGAGGCUCCGGCGCAGCGUUUCCCGCUCUUGCUCGGUGCCGACCUCACCGAUCACGGAGUAAAUGGCAUCAUAGAGAAUUGAUGCUUAGAAGGAAGGCAGCUCCUGCCCAGCUCUGCUUCUUUUAGUUUUGGAAUACCAACAUUUAUUGCAGGAGAAACCAACUAUAGAACAAAAAUGUCAUCUCUUAACAGGUAAAGAACAUUCUGUUUAUUUAAAGAAACAGACUAACUUUUCUUCUUUCUCCUUCAGGUGUUUUGUUUAAAGGGAACAGGUUGCAGACUGGUCUCCGGAGCAGGGUGGGCAAGGCUUCUUCCUAGGAUGCAAAACACAUCUCUGAUGACAAAACCAGAGGUAGCUCUUCUCCUCCCCAUGUAGCACCUCAGCAUUUUAAAAUGUGACACAGUAGAGAGGGGCAAUCAUCUGGUCCCUCUGGCUCAGAAACUGGCAAUUAUGUAGGAAGAGCCUUGCUGCUGGAUCAGGCCAAAGGCCCUCCUAAUCCAACGUCCUGUUUUCACAAUAACCGACCAGUUGCCCCAAUGGGAAGCCCACAAGCAGAACUUGAGGGUAACAGGACUCUUCCCACUUGUAAUUCCCAGCAAUUGGUAUAAAAAAUCAUAUAGAAGAGCAUUACAAAGCAUAAAAAAUAACAAGUCUUGCUGAAGAUGAAUCAGCAUGGCUUCUCCAUGCACACGAAAGCUUAUACCCAGAACAAAUUUAGUUGGUCUCUAAUUUUUUUAUUUUUUACAUAUAUUUCGACUGCGUCAGACCAACAUGGCUACCUACCUGAAUUAUUAACCUUCCAGAGUGUCAAUAACUACAUUUUUGAUUAUGUGAUUGACACUCUAAAGGUGUUAUCUGGUAGACAUUGUGUACUUGGAAGAAAUGGGAUUCCCCAGAUAUCUGUACUGGGACCCGUGCUAUUUAAUUGCUUCAUAAGUGAUACGGAGUCAGGAUGAACAUUGAGGUAGUCAAAUAUGCUGAUGACACCUAGUUAUUCAGGAUGUUAAAAGGCAAAACGGGAUAGUAAAGAGCUCCAAAUGGAUAUUUUCAAUCUGGGUGAAGGGGCAUUAAAUUUGCAACACUGCUUCAGUGUAAGCAAAUGUAAAAUGAUGCACAUGGGUAAAAAAUCCUAUCUUUACAUCUAUAUAUUUUGGAAAGUUGACUGUUUGCUAUGUGUUUGGACACCUCUUAAGAUAUCAUGACCAAAUUAUUUGUUCCUGAGAUGGAGGUUUUUGUCUAUGUUUGGAUACAACUGGAUGCCAUUUGGAUUCAAGAUUUAAAUAGCACUAAUUUGAUGGGCAUGGUUUGAGGAAAAAGGCCUUGUGACCAAAAGUAGAAUCCCUGCCAGGUCUAAUUUGGCCUGGAGGAUCAGAGACUCCCCUGCCAGCUCUGUCAUGUCCCGUCUUACCAAACUAAAAAGUCCCAAAUGUUGUAACCUUCUUCUUGCAGGGGAGUUGCUUCUGCCUCCGAAAUUGUUGCUUGCCACGUUGUGAUCCUGUACCAGAUCUACACCAUCCUGUUCCAAAUAUCCCAUGUAUGGAAUUAUGACCCCAUAGAGAAGGGCUGGAAGGAAACAUGAAAGACUCAGAGGGUUGCAGCAGCUCCACCUUUGUGGCAGGGGCACCCCUCAUGGGUGUAGCCAGGGGGGUGCAGCUGCCCUUCCCCAAAUCAAGUGAAUAAAUAAAAAUACUUAACUGACCAUCACAGAUAACUCAGUUCUGCCCCCCACGCAACAUAAUGCCUGCCUCCCUCCAAAAUAAAUCCUGGCUACGCCCAUUGCAGCCCUCCUUCCUCUGUGGGUGCUGCUGUGCCCUUGCACAAAGACAGUUCUAGGAGUGUGCCCUUGCUAUCUCAGGUGUGCGGUCAGGCGGAUAGUGCCAAGCGUGUUUCCAUCAAAAUCCCCCUUCGUCAUCUGUGCCAUCUUUGACAAUCCACCUGGUGGAGCUGCAUCUAUUAUAUUAUCAUCGUUCCCUGUUCUAAAGGUGACCGGGCACACGUGACCCUCGGUUUGGGGAGAUUGUGCACUGCUGCCUCCUGGCGUGCGCUGCUGGCGACCGGGCCUUCAGCGCCAGCUUGGACUCCCAUCAGCGUCACCACGCGCGACCACGGACCAUUCUCUUGCUUAUUUAUAUUCAGGCCUGGCAUUGGAAGCGGGGAGGUGGAGCUUUCCGCGAGCCCCGCCCCCUCCCUGGCCUUGGCCGGGGCAUGUGGCGCCGCGUUGUCACGGCAACCCCCGCGCAGCGCGAAACGCGUGGGGGCGGGGCCUGCAGCGUGGCCGGCCGGAGCCGCCGCGCGAACGCCCGAGGGGGCGGGGCAAGGCGUUCUUCUCGCGCGUGCGCUCGCUCCCCGCCUUUUUUUUUUUUGCUUGUGCGCGCGCGCUCGUCUCUGUGUCUGUUGGGGGAGGAUUCGCAGCUCCCGCGACCCUCCGUCCUCCCCUCCGAGAGGCCU